rnacentral:rRNA from 1 species
UACAGAGGGUGCGAGCGUUGUUCGGAAUUAUUGGGCGUAAAGGGCGCGUAGGCGGUGCGGUAAGUCACCUGUGAAAUCUCCUGGCUCAACUGGGAGCUUGCAGGCGAAACUGCCGUGCUGGAGUGUGGGAGAGGUGCGUGGAAUUCCCGGUGUAGCGGUGAAAUGCGUAGAUAUCGGAAGGAACACCUGUGGCGAAAGCGGCUCACUGGACCAUUACUGACGCUGAUGCACGAAAGCUAGGGGAGCAAACAGG